rnacentral:rRNA from 1 species
CCUACGGGUGGCUGCAGUGAGGAAUAUUUGUCAAUGGACGAGAGUCUGAACCAGCCAAGUAGCGUGAAGGAUGACUGCCCUAUGGGUUGUAAACUUCUUUUAUAUGGGAAUAAAAUGUUCCACGUGUGGGAUUUUGUAUGUACCAUAUGAAUUAGGAUCGGCUAACGCCGUGCCUGCAGCCGCGGUAAUCCGGAGGAGCCGUGCGUUAUCCGGAUUUAUUGGGUUUAAAGGGAGCGUAGGUGGUUUGGUAAGUCAGUUGUGAAAGUUUGCGGCUCAACCGUAAAAUUGCAGUUGAAACUGGCAGUCUGGAGUACAGUAGAGGUGGGCGGAAUUCGUGGUGUAGCGGUGAAAUGCUUAGAUAUCGCGAAGAACUCCGAUUGCGAAGGCAGCUUACUGGACAGCAACUGACACUGAGGCACGAAAGUGUGGGUAUCAAACAGGAUUAGAUACCCGGGUAGUC